rnacentral:piRNA from 1 species
UCUAAUGCUGUUAAGGUACUCCAUUAAU